UCAUACAGAGAGUACCAUGGCCCCUGCCCAAGGAUGACACGCAAAUUCGUGCAGCGUUCCAUAUUCAU
rnacentral:snRNA from 14 species